rnacentral:rRNA from 1 species
AAAUUGAAGAGUUUGAUCAUGGCUCAGAUUGAACGCUGGCGGCAGGCCUAACACAUGCAAGUCGAACGGUAGCACAGAGAGCUUGCUCUCGGGUGACGAGUGGCGGACGGGUGAGUAAUGUCUGGGAAACUGCCUGAUGGAGGGGGAUAACUACUGGAAACGGUAGCUAAUACCGCAUAACGUCGCAAGACCAAAGAGGGGGACCUUCGGGCCUCUUGCCAUCAGAUGUGCCCAGAGCCCAGA